rnacentral:lncRNA from 1 species
CUUUUUAUGCUAAUGAGAGUCUCCACAAGCAAAGUGGGCCACGGCGAAGGGCUUCUCUCAGGAAAGAGGCGGGAAAGUUAGGGCUCCCUUCCCACGGCGCGGCUCGCCAGGCACAUCCCGAGGAGGCACGCGCUCAGCCUGCGAGUGAGCUGAGCGUCUAAAAGGCAGCGAGGGGCAAGCAUUGCAAAACCGGCUCUUCCGCCUUGGGAAUCAGCUGACUGCUGCGAGGAAGUGAGCUCCUUCAGGGCUUGUAGUUGCAAACCCGGAGCCUCGAAAGCAUUUCGGUGGGGGAGUGACGCGCCAAGCCCCUCAACCUUAUCGCUCCUCGUCCACAUCCCCGCCCCAAGGGAUUGUUGUAAACCGGGAAGGCCCAAAGCUCCCUCACAGUUCCCUCACUGGGGAGGACACUGCAGAGAUGGCAGGGCUCGUGGUAAAUGGAACUCAAGUGUCUUACAUUGGUCAAGAUUGCAAAGAAAUCCCAGAAUUUCUAGGGAGGAAAUACGGAAACAUUGCAAGAAGGCUGGAUCUUAGCUUCAACUUGUUACGGUAGGGCAUGAAAACUAUCUAUCAACACCUGAAUAAGGGUAACAUUUUGUACACUUUCUUACUUUUUGUUUUGCCAUUUGUCAUCAGUAUUGAUACUGUUCUCCUAUAAGCAUUUUGUUGAGAGAGCUAGCCUGUUACCGGCCAAUUUCAGGUCUUCAUCUUUUCUCAGUAUCAAGCCUAUAUGUGGUAAACAGUUUACAGUUAACUUUAAAGAAAACUGUGGAAGAAUACAGAGGAAGGGAUUAUCAGUCUUAAGGAUUGUUUGCAAUGUAACAGAUGCUGCUUAUGCUGUGUAAAAGUUUGUACUAUUCUUCAUCUGCUUUUGCUGAAAGAAGUGUGGAAUGAAAAUGUGUAUGAGGCACAGUGCAAGAAUUUCUACGUUUUUGCAACUGGCUAAGAUUUUGGCAAUUCUCUUCUAGAAUUAUCUUAAAUUGUUGAGAUACAAGAACAGUUUAAAAUGAACAAAGUGGUGUUUUCAUUUUCAGACUUGAAAUGUGUUUCCUAAACCCUGGCUGGUUACUGUACCAAUAAAACUGGAUUGCCACUAAACA